UACAGGCUUGGGCAGAGAAGCAGAGGCAAAGGAAGAAUAAAGGAGCUUGGAGAGAAGGAACUCCCUCAGUGCAUCUGUACCUGGACAGGAUACAGUAAAGCAGGAGAAUAAAUCCCUGUUUGAUAGGAAAACCAGGCUUAGAAAACAGAGGCAUUACUUGAUGGAGGAAGAAGAGAUUUCCAGUGGUAAGAACAGAAGAAAGGAUAGUACGGCUGACAAACAGGACAGAUGACAUCAGUUCCCUGCUGUCCCUCGAGGCUGCUAGACUCUACUGGCUGGAACCGAAGCUCCAUGAAGGCAGGGAUUUUCAUCUGUUGCUGACUCACCAGUUCCUGGUGCCUGAGACACAAAUGUGCACGUGGAGUAAAUGAAUGCAGAAAUUGAGACCCAGGGGGAUGAAGCCCUUUUAUUUAGCAGGAUUCAGAGACACCGAAGGAGAAGAUCUGGCAGAAGUGGGAGAUGCCGCAGGCUCCAUGGCUAAUUCACAUCAUGAAGUGAGCCAGCAGAUCAACAAUAGGACACUCGAUGCCUUCACGCUAACUUUCCAAACUUCUGCUUGACUUGGGCCUUCCAAAUAUUGUGCAAAAUGUCUCUGGUGGCCAGGACUGGGAAACUAUACAUGGAAGGGGAUUCUGAGAUAUAGUCUAAGUUUAAAUUGAUCCAGUACAAAUCCACCCUUCAUACAUAUCUGCUUCUCUUUCCACUGCAAUUACCACAGUCCAGUCUCAUCAUCUCUACCUGUAUUACUGCCUGCCACCAUUAUAUUCUCUGCCACUCUGCCAUCACAUACAUUGUCACCACCUUUACUCAUUUUAUAAUACAUCUUACUCUAUGGUAAAUCUAUAAUAAAAUCUUUCAUUGGCCCCUCAUUGCUUAUAGUUAAAAGCCCAGCUAUUGAGUUGGAAUUAAAGUAUCAGUCUAGCCCCAGCGUCAUUGUAUGUCAUUCCCUUUCACAAACCUUCUAUUCUGCCUCUAGAAGACCACUGUCUAUUCAUCAAAAGCAUCAAAUGUAUUUAGUCCUUUGUUUAUGCCAUUCAUUUUGCCUAUUUUCCUUUGCCACCUGGCUGUACCUAAUCCUUUGGAGAGUCUGCUCAAGUAUUUCCUCCAUCAUUUUCCUUGCACCUGCCCUUCUCUCUGAGCAGAAUUGCUUCCAUGU